rnacentral:tRNA from 1 species
GCCUGUGUAGCUCAGACGGCAGAGCAUCAGACUUUUAAUCUGAGGGUCCAGGGUUCAAGUCCCUGUUCAGGUG